GGGGAGGGGAAGAGGCAUUAAGGAAUGGGUGAUGGGGGAGGGGGCUCUGGGAGAUGGAACAACUACUUGGAAUCACAAAUCCCACCGUGAGGGAAUGCACGGAGCCAGGCCCAGCUACUUGUGGGGCCCCGUAUGGAUUUAAAAUGCAGGGCCCCCCAGGGGCGCCCGGGUGGCUCCAGCUAAGUAUCUGACUGGGGCUCAGGUCGUGAUCUCACGGUUCGUGAGUUCGAGCCCCACGUCGGGCUCUGUGCUGACAGCUCGGAGCCUGGAGCCUGCCUCGGAUUCUGUGUCUGCCUCUCUCUCUGCCCCUCCCUUGCUCGCACUCUGUGUGUCUCUCUCUCUCAAAAAUAAAUACAUGUUAAGAAACAAAUUUAAAAAAAUGCAGGUACCUGUUCAAACGUGGUCAAGAAUGUCAAGACAGCACAGCAUUCAACCAAGCAUGGGGCCCUUCUAAGUGGGGGUGCCCCGUGUGCCUGCCUACUGCCCAUGAAGCUGCCCGGUGUGGAAUUACCAAGCGUGCAAGGGAACAUUUUGCACGCCCAGAGUGUCAGAGCCCAAGAUAUGAUGUGCACACUUCAUAGCUGGGAAGGGCCACGUGUGUCCAGGGAGGGUCCUGGUCCCCCCGGGUCUCCCCCUCAGGGACUGUCUACUGCACCCCCUGAGGACUGACUGAGCGGACCUUCCUUGGCUUUCUUUGCCCACCUCUGACAACAAGGGGCAGAAGAGGAGAAGUUAAGGGUCCUGGGAAACCAGACGCCGGACCAGCUCUGUCCAUAUGAGUACGAGAGGGCAGUAGGGGUGGGCCCAGCUGGGCAGCGAGUAUACUGGUUUGUAUUGGGCAAGGCUCUUUGGGUGUGGGCAUGGCUUACAAACCAAAGGUCAGGAGGCCAGGGGCAGAGGCGGCUUCGGGGUCGGCUGCAAUGAGGGGCUUGAACCCUGUCUGUCAGAAUUCUCUCUUUGGUUUUCUUCUGCAUGUGGAUUAUUCUCUCCUUCUGAGGUUUUCUCUGCACAGCGAGGGCCACUGUGUUGGCAGACCCAGGCACGUAUCCUUCCAGCUGAAGGACUUUCAGCCUCAGAAAAAUCCUGGGAAGAAUUUAGUGACCUGACUUGGGUCAUGUGCCCAGCACUGAACCAGUCACUGUGAGGUGUUGCCCUAGACGCAGCUGGGUCUCACGGCCCCGUCUGGCUCAGACGAGGGCACGUAUUGUGAUUGUCAGCUCCCGCCAGACCCCAUACGGUUGGUGGGGGAGAGGGGGCGGGAGGUUUAAGGGGAUGCCGGGCUCUUCCCUCAGAUCUAAGAAGCGGGCACGGUGUCCAGGCAGACAGAACGAACGCCAGGCAAAACAGCGCUCAAAUCUGGACUCUGGGCCACGGUUUAGGAUGGCCACACCGUCCUCCACCGCCAGCUCCGGUGGCACCGGAGAAGGGAGCCGCUGUGUGUCUUCUCUUUCUCGCUUAAUCGGGAAAAACCUUCCAUCCACAGUCAGCACAGCUCUCUGUGGGAGCAAGUUGGAGGGCCUGCUGCUACAGGGCCUGAGCGAUCGUCGAUCGUCGUGCGCAUCUCGCCACUCCCGGACUGCAGCCAGAUGAGCACUUAGAUGGGAGACUGCCAAAAUGCCCCGCAGAGGAGGAAGUGGCUCUUCAGAGUCAAAAGGUGACCUUGUUCCCUUUGACUCACUUCUGAACCGAUGCCCUCUAGAACUCAGGAAGCUCUCAGGAUCGGAGCGCUCAGCCCAGCCGCUGGCAGCUUUGCUGAAAAGGGGGGGCGGGGGCGGGCCCUGGCCCAGCUUGGUAAUUACUUAGCUCUGAGUUCCUGGGGGAACAAUGUCACCUCUCUGUCCUUAUGGAGGAAUGACAGACUUAACCCCAAUGCCUAAGAACAGGAAAGGUGUGGUAAAUAAACAGAAAAGCAAGUGGGCCACAGGGCUCAAAAGCCAGUUGAAUGCCGUAUAUAUAUCCACUGGCUGGCUGGCUGACGCUGAGUGACACUGAGUGACACUGACUGGGUGGCUGACAAGGUCUGAGUAAUCACUCAAAUAGGGUUAGUAAACUACAAUAGUUGCGACUUUGCCUGAAGUCCAACUUACUCUUGAAAAUGGUGUCUGUGUGACUAAAACAAGCCACACCAAGCCUUACCGAUGCCGUUCUUGUUGGGGUAGUGGAUGGAGGCUUCUUCCCCCCAAAGGAAGGAUGGGAAGCACAGGAUGGAAAUGAGGUCUCCCUCUUUGUGCCGGUGAUUUUUUUCCCAGUCCGGCCCCCUUUUCCUUUCUCUGAGACUGUCUCUAGCCCUCGUUUUCUCAAAGCCCCUUCUUCCUACAGAACCACCUUCUCAGUGGUCUUUUGGGGGCCGUGUUUCACUUGAUUGUAUGUCACUCCUCUGCUCUGUCCUCUUUGGUCUCCUGCUCCCACCGCUGCCCUCAAAGCUCUCCGGCCCUCAAAGCCCUUCUCUCUCCCCUUCCUCCAUGAAGUCUACCGGGGCCAUUCCAGCCCUUGUGACCCGGUCCUCUUCUCGGAUUCUUCACUGCUGUCCCUUCCAGGGCUGGACAUUUCCCACUGCCCCAGGGCACCCUUGGAAAGAUUUUGCUCUGAGUAGUUAUUUGCUGUUCAUCAUUGAACUCUUUCCUUGUAUUUGGGCGUGUAGACCAUGCACAUUUGAGAGGGUUGGGGCUCUUGUCUUUAGCCUUGUCUUUCCAUCAGCUCUGAGGCCAGUCAGGACCAGUGAGGUUAUGUCACUGAACCCAAACAGUCCCAGAUCCCAAUGGCUAAGACCACAGGGUUGUGCUACAUUGUGUUCCAGGUGUGUCGUAGGUUAGCCGGGGCUGUGCACACAGAGACCCAGGCUGAGGGAGGAUCUGUCUCCAGCUUCCAAGUGGGCGGAAGAAGAGAACGUUCUCAAACGUGCACUGAUUCUUAAAGCUUCCAAGUAGAUGGCAACACCCAUCUGCACGGGGCAGGAGAACGCGAUCCUCCUGUGCGUCUGCUUAGGGUAGGCAGAAUGGCACCAUGAUAGUUUGCCUGUGGUGGCCAACAGUGAAUUAUUUAUUGAUUGAAAGCCUUGAAGGAAGAAAUGAGUUAAAUAAAACAUGGUACAUUCAUUUAAUGGAAUCGUAUAAGCCACUAAAAUGAUAUUGCUGGAGGAUGUUAAUGACAUAGAAAACGUUGAGCAUAGAUUAUGAAGUAUAAGAGCAGAUUAUAAAAAAAGAAUGUGCCAUAUUUCUCUUUUGUUAAAAACGCAUAUUAUAUGGGGCGCCUGGGUGACUCAGUCAGUUAAAUGUGUGAGUCUUGAUUUUGGCUCAGGUCAUGAUCUCACUGUUUGUGGGAUCGAGCCCCACAUGGGGCUGUGUGAUGACAGUGCCUGGGAUUCUCUCUCUCUCCCUCUCUCUCUGCCCCUCCCCUGCUCGCAUGCUCUCUCUCACUCUCUCUCAAAAUAUAAUAAACGUUUAGUAAAUGCAUAUUAUACUUAUAGAAAAGAAAUUCUCGAAAAGGUCCACAGGUCCAGAUGGUGAGAUUAUGAGGACAGGCGACCUCUCCUCCUUUUGGUCUUUAUCUAUUUUCUAAAUCUUCUCCAGUUGAUUGCUUUCAUAACAAGAAAAAAAUUUCUUGCUAAACAGCCCGGCCUUUUAAAAAGUGGUAGAGUAUACAUUAAUCGUAAGAGAUGCGGAAAAUUCAGGCCCCUUGAAUUGACACGUGAAAACACCAAAGUUUAGAUCUUUCCAGACCUCUUUCCAUGUAUGCGUGCAUAUUUCGUUGAAAGCGAAUCCUCACCCGCCAGAGCCUGGAGCGCAUGGGCUGAUGUCAGUGACGUGAUGGUGCCCGUGAGCAUUGUGCUGGUUCCAUGGCCAGAAAAUCCUGUGCAGGCCCUGGCUCCUGGGAGGGAUGAAGGAUCCUGGGAGGUACUCCCCCACACACACCCCCCCCCGCCAAAGCUCUAUGUCUGCCGGCUUCUGUGGCUGCUCCGUGGAAGGCCCACCACGCGUGGCACCCCGGGUCCCAAACACGUGCAUUCGGGCUCGUGAUAUCGCAGGCAAGGAGGGGGCACUCGCUGUGGAGAAUUUGGCCCUGGGGCCUCACGGCCUCGUUGCUUGGGAAAGGAGGAAGAUGGACGUUUCCCCAUUCUCCGUUUGUGUUCUUUGAGUUGGUUCUGCUCCAGGGAAUUUUUUUGGCCAAGGCAAGUUCAAAAUAACUCUUCAUGAUCUGUUUGGUGCAAAUGCAAGUUGAUUUAUGGCUUUGCUGACCUUUGAUUCACUGGCAAAGCACUGCCUGGGGCCCUGGGGAGAUUUUCCUUUGCUUGUUUACCCGGGGUGAUUUAGGAGCUACAGUGCCAAGAAGGUUUUCCUAUUUCUUCCACCCCAGGACUUGACCUCGCGGCCCCUGCCCUCGGGGCUCACACCCUGGGGGACUCAGCCUCAGAUCGUGUACAGACGGACAGUUAACCUUCAGAUGCCCUGGACCAUGUUACUCAUUCAUAGUCUCUGGCUUUUAACCCCUUUCAAGAGGUCCCCAGAGAGGGGUGCCUGGGUGGCUCAGUCGGUUAAGCGUCCAACUCUUGAUUUUGGCUCAGGUCAUGAUUUCACAGUUCGUGAGUUCCAGCCCUGUGUCAGGCUCUGUGCUGACAGUGGGGAGAGCCCGACUGUCCUUCCCCCACUUACUCUAUCUCUCAAAAUAAAUAAAUAAACUUAAGAAAAGAAAAGAAAAGUUAAAAAAAAACAAAACAAAAAGACAAAACAGGAGCGCCUGGGGGGCUCAGUCGGUUAAGUGUCUGCCUUCGGCUCAGGUCAUGAUCUCAUAGUUCGUGGGUUCGAGCCCCGGUUCAGGUUCUGUGCUGACAGCUCAGAGCCUGGAGCCUGCUUCGAAUUCUGUGUCUCCCUCUCUCUCUGCCCUUCCUUUCCCUGCUCACACUCUCUCUCUCAAAAAUAAACAAACAUUUAAAACAUAUAUAUGUAUGAAGUGUAUUUAUAGGAUGUGUCUUUAUUUUUUUAAAGUUUGUUUAUUUUGAGGGAGAGAGGUGGGGGGCAGAGAGAGAGAACCCCAAGCAGGCUCCGCAGUGCCAGCACAGAGCCCAACGGGGGGCUCGAACCCACGAACCAUGAGACCAUGACCCGAGCCGAAACCAAGAGUCAGACGCCCAACUGGCUGAGCCACCCAGGUGACCCAGUAAAGCUCUUUAAAAGCAAAAGAAACCUGUAAAGAAAAUGUGUUCCCAGAAGAACUGACUCUGGAGGGUUCGAGGUGGACUGGCUCUCACCAUGGGCUGGUCCCAGCUUCUCCUUGUCACCUCUCUGUCUUGUACCAAGCCCAGCAGGAGGUGACCCUGCCCUGUCUGUGCCCCCUGGAAUGUGCUGUUCCAAUGUGCCCACCUCAGCCUGAGGGGCAGCUGGGGUGGGGGGCGGUCUGUGGAGAGACCACAGGGCUGCUGGGCCCCCCUGUGGAGGGCAGUGGCCUGUCCCGGCUGUUCCACCCUCACUCAAGGUGGGUCCUCUGUCUGCUUCAGAGGUGGGCUGGCGCUGGGCCCCAUCCAGGCUCUGGUCUUCUUCCGUCCCCUUCAUGGACACCCCGGAGGAGAAAUCCCAGACCGUGGCAGCCCCUCCUGUUUGAGUCCCAGCCACCAAAGCCCCAGAGGAGGUCGGCGGGGGGAGACAAGGAGAGGAAAGCCUUAAGUAGGUGCUUCAGGAACAACUGGAAAACGGGAGAUGGCGGUGGGGGGUGGGCAUGGGAAGCGGAGAGGGGAGAAAGCGGCAACAGAAAAAAGAGAAGGCGCGAGAAAGUACCACCUUCCAGUUCUGGCCCUGAGGCAGACCACCACUGAUUUUAUACCUACUUGUUUCUACCUAGCAUUUUCCAAGCAGUGUCAGUAUCCGUGAAGUCCUGGGGCGAUACGUUAGCUACAGUUUCCCCAGGAGACAUUGAAAUAAAUAGGUAACAGAAACCAUUUCUACAGAGACAGAAAGAUGAGCAGUUUCCUGGGGCUGGGGGCUUGCUGGGAGAAGAAGGGGAUGAGAACUAAAGGCAUGGGUUUCGUUGCGGGGUGGUGGAAAUGUUCUAAAUUUGAUUGUGGCGUCGGUUGUACAAGUCUGUACUAAAAAGCAUCGAAUUGUUCACUUGAAAGGAGUGAAUUGUAUGGUAUGUGAAUCAUACCUCAAUAAAGCCUUUACAAAAGCAAAACGAAAAAGAAAGAAAACAAAGCGGGUCUUUAUGAAGCCUGGCUCUCCCUGCACCCCUCGGCGGGGCCAGGACCGCUUUGGAAAUACUUGGCAAUGAGAAGAACCGGAGAGAGCUGUGACCCACAGCGGUGUUCCUACCACAUCGAGGGCUCAAAAGCAGUGACCCAAGGCAGCUGCCAAACAUCCGUCAGUGUUGCACCACCGAGAAAACAUCUGGGAUCCAAAGUUGCAGCUGCCCUCGGCCUCAGAGACAGUCAGCCACGAGACCGCUGGACACUUCUGUGGGUCCAGGGCUGGCUUGGCAUCGACAUCGAGGCAGGCAAAGAAACUGGAGCCUCUCAAAGCCCCUCAGAUGGGGCGGGGCUCCUGGGGUGACUCUUAUGCAGGUUGCCCGAGACUGGCCCGGUUUUAGCAUCGAAAACCCCACAUACCCAGGAAACCCUCUGUUUUGUCGGGACAAACCGGACAGCUGGUCACCCAGAUUCCUCACAGACCCCUGAAAGCAAAGGGCCAGGCUGAAAGACUCCUGGAAAGGCCACAAGAACGGCUUUCACUCUCCCUCUGCUCCGAUAGCCACAGUGACUGAAAGGAGUCCUGGAGAAGGGAGAGAAGAGGGUCUUACUGUAAGCCUGGCAACCCACUUUCCAGAAACAGAAAACAAGAAGCCAGACUGGAGAAUCAGGCCUUUGGCCAGGGCAGCGUGGCCACUCCUGGCCUUUGGGGAGGGGUCUCCAUCACAGAGCCACCCGUGGGGCCCAGCGGCCACUUGCUUCCUUCGGCUCCCACGCUCACCCUUGAGGGGGUAAACUGUCACUGAUUGUGAUGUUUAAUUUCAUAUGUCAACUUGACUGGGCGACAGGGCACCCAGAUAUUUGAUCAAAUAUUUUUCUGAGUGUGCCUGUGAGGGUGUUUCUGGAUGAGAAUUGGUAGACUGAGUAAAGGAGAUCGCUGUCUCGAAUGCGGGUGGGCUUCAUUUAAUCAGGCGAGGGGCCUGACUAGGCCAAAAGGGCUGACCAUCCCCUGACUUACAGAGAGUUCUUCCUGCCUGACAGUCUCUGAAGGCAUCAGGUCUUCCUGGAUUUCAAGCCUGCCAGUCUUUGGACUAUACUUCGGCUCUUCAUCUUAGGCUUUUGGACUCAGACUGGAGUUAAACCAUCGGUGCUCCUGGGCUUGUCAACUCAGCUGCAGAUCUUGGGGCUGCUGGUCUCCAUUAUCAUGCAAGCAAACUGUAUAAUCUCUCUCUCCUAUUGGUUCUUUUUUUUUUAAUAUUUAAUGUUUAUUAUCAUUUAUUAUUUUAAUUGUUUUAAUGUUUAUUUAUUUUUGAAAGAAAGAGAGGUAGAGAGAAUGCGAGCAAGGGGAGGGGGGCAGUGAGAGAGGGAGACACAGAAUCUAAAGCAGGUUCCAGGCUCUGAGCUGUCAGCACAGAGCCCCACGUGGGGCUCAGUCUCACGAGCCAAGAGAUCAUGAUCCAGCGCAAGUCAGACCAUUAACCGACUGAGCCACCCAGGCGCCCCCUAUUGGUUCUUUUUUUGAAAAGCCUUAAUACACUGAUGAGUCCAGCUCUCUCCCUGCCCUGCUCAGUCAACGACCUUCAAAUGAAGAUGUUGAUUUUUGGUAAUUUUGAAAGACUCAGGCUGGUGAUGAUGUCAAGGUCAAGGCAAGGAAGCAGUUUCACUAGGGGCUAGUUCUUGUGCCGGCUUCACGAAUUUAUGAAUGGCUGUGGCAAGAAAGUCCCGCUCCUCCCCUGGUCUUGCCUGUUUGGGGAGUGGCCUGUGUGGACGUGUCAGAAAUACAGACAUCGUUGAGUCUGUUUUGUUCUCAGUCUCAAAGCCUCUGGAGAGCUGGUAACAUAAACCCUAAGGUCUUGUGGGGCCUGACAUACUGUGAGCUUCAGACACUGACCCCACACAGCUAGCAUCACUCACAACUUGUUCUGAAACAGGAAAGAAUACGUGUUCUGACCCCAUGCAGUCUUUUUUUUUUUUUUUAAUUUUUAUUCAUUUUUUGAUAGAGACAGAGUGUGAGUGGGGGAGGGGCAGACACCGAAUCAGAAGCAAGCUCCAGGCUCUGAGCGGUCAGCACAGAGCCUGGCGCGGGGCUCGAACUUGGGAACCGCGAGAUCGCCCAACCGACUGAGCCACCCAGGCGCCCCUCCCUUGCAGUCUUUCUUACCCGACUGCAGAAAUAGUUCUUGGCCUGAAAUCUCACUUCAAAUGUGGGUCUAAGGUGUUCUUUUUAGAGGACUUCAGACACUGCCAGGACGCCGGGAGCAACCUUUUUCAGGACGCAAAGCUCGGUGCCCUUAACUCCCGGAAGAGGAGGAAAAGCACAAUCUCUGAACUAGGUUAGGUCUUCUGGGGAGUGUUCAUCGGCUUCAGCUCACUGAGAAGGGAGUUGGUCAAAUAUAAAAUUCCCCAGUCUGAAUCCUUCUCUCUCUUUCUGGUAAGAGCAGCUGGAAGACAAGCCACCCAGCUUAGUGUCCCCCGCCCACCUCCCCGCCUCGGCUCCCCAGACUUUCAGACCCAGGAGCGCACACAAGUACCGAUCCUGACCAUUAGGUGUCACUGUUGUACACGACAUGGACUGACCUGGGCUCCGGACGAUUGACCGCGCUCCAGCUUGAUCGCCUUUCGAUUUCUGCAUGACCGUGGGGUUCCCCAAAGUGUAGCGGUGCCCAGCCUGAGGCCAGUAACCAGUCAACAGUUGACACAAAAUACAGGUAAAGCCCACCUGGGCUUUGCACUCUGGCAGUUACAGCUCUUUGUGAUGGAGGAUGUAAAAGCAGUCGGUAUGGCGAGCAGCCGGAAGGGCAAAUAAAAAUAUUUUUUACCGUUGUAUUUUAAAAUUCAUAAUAAACUAUGUCAAAUGUACAGGAAAAUUACAGAGAACAUUAUAAGAAACCCUUGAAUUGAAUUGCCAUGUUUGCUUCAGUGUUUUGCUUUGUUUUAUAUAUGUAUUCACAUUGUAUAGCAUCGUUCUGUGUGUUUUCAAAUUAAAAUUUGUAAAUAUUUCCAUUUCUAUUACAUCAUUUUGCAAGUUGCUUUUACCACCUCAACCAUUAUUUUUCGUUUUGGGGGUUUAUUACUGUCGCUGUAAGUAGCUCUGAUUUAUUUAUUUGAACCACUGUAUUGUAUUCCAUUGAAUCUCCACAACAAUCAGUUUAUAAAAUCAUUGGCUAUUUCCAAUUUUGUUAUUACUGCAGGUAAGGCUGAAAUGACAAUUUAAAAACAACUUUAUUUAGGUAUAACUUACAUACCACAGAGUUUACCCACUUUAUUAAAGUAUACAAUUCAAUGGC